GUCCGGGUCUUACGCAAUAGAACUCUACGAAUCUGGUCAGGGCAGGAAUGCAGCAGCCAUAAGAAGAUGAUUCUAUGUGCCGUAAGGGUGCCUGGGCCAA
rnacentral:SRP_RNA from 1 species